GACGAACGCUGGCGGCGUGCUUAACACAUGCAAGUCGAACGGAAAGGCCCUGCUUUUGUGGGGUGCUCGAGUGGCGAACGGGUGAGUAACACGUGAGUAACCUGCCCUUGACUUUGGGAUAACUUCAGGAAACUGGGGCUAAUACCGGAUAGGAGCUCCUGCUGCAUGGUGGGGGUUGGAAAGUUUCGGCGGUUGGGGAUGGACUCGCGGCUUAUCAGCUUGUUGGUGGGGUAGUGGCUUACCAAGGCUUUGACGGGUAGCCGGCCUGAGAGGGUGACCGGCAACAUGGGGACUGAGAUACGGCCCAGACUCCUACGGGAGGAAGCAGUGGGGAAUAUUGCACAAUGGGCGGAAGCCUGAUGCAGCAACGCCGCGUGCGGAAUGACGGCCUUCGGGUUGUAAACCGCUUUCGCCUGUGACGAGGCGUAGGUGACGGUAGUGGGUAAAGAAGCACCGGCUAAUUACGU
rnacentral:rRNA from 1 species